UAGUCAUAUGCUUGUCUAAAGGACUAAGCCAUGCAUGUCUAAGUAUAAGCAAUUUAUACUUGUGAAACUGCGAAUGGCUCAUUAAAUCAGUUAUAGUUUAUUUGAUAUUUUCUUGCUACAUGGAUACCGGUGGCAAAGUACCGCUAAUACAUGCAAACAAUCCCGCAAGGGAUGUAUUUAUUAGAUACGCAAACCAACCUGGCUUGCCAGAGUAUGCUGACUCAUAAUAACUUCACGAAUCGCAUGGCCUUGUGCUGGCGAUGAAUCAUUCAAAUUUCUGCCCUAUCAACUUUUGAUGGUAGGAUAGAGGCCUACCAUGGUUAUGACGGGUAACGGAGAAUUAGGGUUCGAUUCCGGAGAGGGAGCCUGAGAAAUGGCUACCACAUCCAAGGAAGGCAGCAGGCGCGCAAAUUGCCCAAUCUCGAUACGAGGAGGCAGCGACAAGAAGUAACAGUGCGGGGCUUUUUCAAGUCUCGUAAUUGGAAUGAGUACAAUUUAAACACCUUAACAAGGAUCAAUU
rnacentral:rRNA from 1 species